rnacentral:lncRNA from 1 species
GGUCGUCGCGGAGAUGGCGACGCAGCCAGACGUAGCGGUUUUGGCGCUGGCUCCUUCUGCAUUUUACGGGACAGAUGUUUUACGGUCCGUUUCUACUGCGUCUCUGGCUCUCAACUCGACGACGCCUCUCAUGGUUCAACCAGGCGUGGUCAGCCGGGGUCAGCACAGCGCGGCCGGCUCAACUCGUCCGAUCGCCGGACCGCAGGCGACUUCCGAUUUCGGCCGUUAGGCCUAGGAUCCGAAGGACUCUGUUUCCGUGAAGCGUCUCUGCCCCACCAGAUACAACAUCUGGCCUAAAGCAGUGUUCCGGAUCUCCUUCCAAGACCUCAGGCGGGUCGUCAUUCAAUCCAGGAGGCGGCGGCGUCUCAUGGGCGUGUUGCUGGUGCUUCUUACUGGAUGGUGCUACCGAGGGAAAAGUGGUCGUGCUUGGGAAAGGCAAGUAUGGCCGCCGUAAGUAUAGAUAUUGUUUCUACCUUUGCUCGAACCCACCUUUAAGAAAUGCACAGUUCGCAUGUGUGCAUCUCUCAAUGCUUCUACAGUCGGCUGUUAAUAUUUGGAGUGCUCCAACUCUGUCAGCGCUAGUUUCUCUAGAUUAUGCAAAUGGGAUGCAACACUAAACCACAUAUGCUCUCGCAACAAACAGUGCUCUGCUGAAGCACGCACUGUAGAAUCUACUCUGGCUUUAUAAUGCAGCACAAAAUAGUUGACGCCAAGUAUAGCUACUUUUGUGACUCCGUUUUACCAAAAGCUCUGCCGAAAAAAACUUGCCACCUUAUAGGUAGUGCAAAAGAACCUCGCGUGCCUAACCUGGAGAAGGGCAUUUUUUUCAUAGGUCAAUUUUUUCUUAAACCAAUACCUUCAGCCUCCUUGAAAUGUUAACAUCAUGUGACACUCAGAAGAACAGUAAACCCCUUAAUGUUGGCGAACCUUUAAUUUUCGCGGCCUUUAAUUUUGCGGAAUUCAGUGACUGCGAUUAUGACCUCUGUGACCGAUUCAAGAAGAAAUAGGGGCCACCAAGAUAAGGGGGUUUUACUGUCCAUCAGAGGAGAGAGGAAGUUACCUUUGUUUGUAUGCAAGAGUAAAACCAACAACAACAAUCAUGGUGCCGACACUUUGUGAGCCUAUCUGUGUCUAUUGAAUGAUACAAAUUUUGUUUUUGUUCGUUAAAAAUUGUUGCCUGUCCACUGUGGGAUGUCGUCUUCAACAUGAGCAGUGGUUUUCCUCUGAAGCAGGCAGCAUGGACGCGUGCCGCAGCACAACAUAGUUUAUUUGCAGGUGGUACCGCAGUUUGAAGGAUGGUUCGCACAAUAUGGGUGAAUCGCAAUUCAAUGUUCUACCUCGGGCGUAGACAAGAUUUGCUCAUUCUAAAUCAUUUUGUCUACAAAUCGGGAACUUGCAACGAAUGUACCCGCAUGGUUGGAAGGGCCAGACAAGCCUUGCGAGCGCUUCGUUUUCUAGCCUCUCAGUCCUGAACCUACUCACGCACCACAUGUGUAGAUGUUCCGGUACGUGGGAGCACUUAUUUGGAAAAUGGUGAAUGGCAACUGUUGUUAUCUUUAAGGUGGACUGCAUAUUUGCAGUACUUUUCCUCACUUAAAAAUAUGUCUUACUAAAAAUAUGUAGCAUAGCCGAUGACAAAAAGAGAAUGGCUGGGCGUCCUCCAGCACAUGCUUGUGCUUUUCACCCCGCUUUAGACAGAUGUGCUCGCUCCAGGCUCAUCAGGCGCUGAAACGUCAUCGAAGGUAGCAGACGGGCUGGAGGUCGAACAACGGAGACUUCUUCCUGCCUUUCUGAUGGUGCCCAUAUGAGGGAGUCACUCCGAGAGCCUCACCAGAGUUUCCUGCCCGUGGUCGUUCUAAAUGUUUUUGUUGUAGCUACUUGGGUGCCUCAAGAUCUGGAGAUCCUAGUGGCCACAAGCUUGGACUCAAUCUUUUUCUGUGGUCUGGGCAGGACCAUGGGGGAGGUAAUCCCAGCAACAAGAGCAUCGCAGUAUCUCCCUGGCUGUGACUUUCGGUCUGCGUCACGACAGGGGAGUCCUCGUGCCACCAGGUGUUAGGUGCGCUCGCAGCACAAAUCUGGGUUGUGCUGAUCCUCUACGCACAAGUUAGGAACUCCUGAGUGGCAAGAGUGGGAGUUUGGUCUGACAGCUCAAGGGACACCAUUGUUCAGUAUUGAAUUUUUAAUAAUCUUCUUUUAAGCAAAGUUAAGCUUUGCUGCAUGCAGUUCUUGUAAAAAUAAAUACCUGCAACCAAAUUUAUCAGGUCACGA